rnacentral:misc_RNA from 1 species
UGCAGGUACUUGGUUCCCUGAUAUUUGAUUAAAAGUUCAUGGUUGACUAUUUGACUUGAUCAAAUACAGACUCUUACAAGCGUACUGUUCAAUUUGGGGUUUCACUUUUUUAGUGGACAUGAAUUACUUUUGCUUUGCCCACCCAAAGUUAGAAAAAUAAAUUGGAAAUAGUUGAAUCAGUAUCAGUUUUAAGAUAAGAAGUUCUCAUAAAUAAAAUGUGUGAAUAUGCAUGCGAAUCUAGAAAUAAGUUCCAUUUCAAAGAGAGUUGGAAGCAUGUUGAGUGGAUUUGCGGAGUAUCACUUUCAAAAAUGUAAAUUGAAGAAGUUUCUUCGGUCACAUUCUUCGUUGUGCAGUUAUGUAAAUGGGAUAAACUUGCUUCAUUUCUACUGUCUUAUGCAUUAAUUGUGUGGAAUGUAGAAUUGAUCAACAAUUUUCUUUCCACCAUCAUGAACAUUUUGCAGACAUGUGGAAACAGAUAGUUGGGACCCCAAGCAUGGAUGGUCUUGUGAAAAGACCUGAUCUUUUAUCCUUUUACAUUGCUAGUAAAAUACCUGUGUCUGAAUCCACAAGGCAGGAGCUUUUGGAGAUUGAUGGCAUUUCACAUCGCCUGCAACGGGAAAUUGAUUUACUAAAAAG